CAAAAGAAGGUUCAAAAGGGACUAUGUGAAUCUGCAAAAGAGAAAAAAACAUUGCUAACAAUUUAGAAGAUUUACGAUUUAGAGAAUCGGGAUGUCAACAAAAUCAAGAAAAAUUAGAGAAAAUUCAGAGAUUCAAUCAACAAAAGUGAGAACAAGACACAAAAAAGAGGCAAGCAAAACCUUCUAGUUUAGCCCCAUCUUUUUUAAACCCUAAACUCGAAACUGAAAUUUACCAUUAGAAAAGUGGAAACAAGAUGGAGAAUUCCAAGUAUAACUUUCAAAAUCUUACCCAGAAAAAGAUUCGGCGGCUGCAGAGAGACGUGUGAAGGAUGAAAUUUGUUUUGGGUUUAGGAGAAAUAGCCUGAUGUCAAGAGAGAGAGAAAAGGAGCACCGGCGUGUAUUUCCGUUAAUUCAGAAACUCCUUGAGGCUAUUCCAGUCAUUUUACUUUCCCUAUUCCGGGCAGACGAGCAUGAACGCAUAGAAUAUCAACGCAAACAGUAUUCACAAACUCGAAGAAAGAGCAAUUGGAGAAAAGAAAAAAAGAAAGAAGAGCAAAUCUCUCUUGAGAAAAACCAAUUCAGUUUCAGCGUCUUCAACUCUCUCUUCCAACAAUUAGUUCCGAUUUUUAGGAGUUUCUUUUCCCACAAAUUCUUGUUAAAGUUUCCUUUUCUAUUUUUACACUUUCCCCAUUUUUUUUUGGGAAAGAAUUCAUUCAGAUCUGCACAUAUUUGUUGUGUAUUUUCGGUAUUUUUAACCUCAAUUGACCGAAUCAGA
rnacentral:lncRNA from 1 species